AGCUCAGACAGUAAAGAAUCUGCCUUCAAUGCAGGAGACCCAGGUUCGAUUCCUGG
rnacentral:tRNA from 1 species